AGAGCUAGGUAACAAAAAACACAUAAUCUUCCAUCAGGAUAACACAAGACCACGUAUUUCUUUGAUGACCAAGCAAAAACUGUUACAGUUUGGUUGGGAAGUUCUGUUUUGUCCACUAUAUUCAUCAGGCAUUAACACCUCGAAUUUCCAUUUAUUUCACUCUUUACAAAGUUAUUUUAAUGGAUAAAAUUUCAACUCCCUGGAAGACUACAAAUGGCUCCUGGAACAGUUCUUUGCUCAAAAAGAUAAAAAGUUUUGGGAAGAUGGAAUUAUGAAAUUGCCUGAAAGAUGGCAGAACGUAGUGGACAAAAUGGUAAAUACCAGUUACUUGUGGAAAUAAAAAACGUGACUUUUAUUUUUACUUUUUGGCCAACCCAACAUAUUAGCAAGAAGUGCUAAACCAAACCAAACCUCUUCAGAAUAGAGUCCACUGACAAAAUACUAUAAGGAACAAUAUGAUAAAUUGUUUCCAGAUUGAGAAUCAAGCCAAAGAAACUCAAUCUAGAAUAAGAGAUUUCCCUCUGCCU